rnacentral:tRNA from 1 species
GUGGUUGUACCUCAGUGGUAGAGUGUUCACCUCGCUUGUAGAAGGCCCUGGGUUGGAUCCUCAGCACCACA